rnacentral:rRNA from 1 species
AUUAGAUUUUUAAUAAAAAUCUUGUAUGAAAGGGUUGACGAUUUUUYAGCUUUUUUAAUUUAAAKAUAGAAUUUUAUAAUCAAGUAAAAAAGCUUGACUUUUUAGAGGGACGACAAGACCCUAUAAAGCUUAACUAAAAAACUUCAAAUUAACAAGAAARAUUGAUUAUAAUUUAGUUGCACUGGGGCGGUAAUUAAUGAACCUUAAUAAAAAUAACUUUAUAAAAGAAUUUAUAGAUCCUUUWGGAUAUUAGAUUAAGCUACUUUAGGGAUAACAGCGCAAUUUUUUUGGAUAGAUCUUAUUGAUAAAAAAGACUUGCGACCUCGAUGUUGAAUUGAGGGGCCUAGAUUAAGUAACCAUAAUCUCAGGAAGUCUGUUCGACUUUUAAUUCCUCA